UACGGAGGGAGCUAGCGUUGUUCGGAAUUACUGGGCGUAAAGCGCGCGUAGGCGGCUUUGUAAGUUAGAGGUGAAAGCCCGGAGCUCAACUCCGGAACUGCCUUUAAAACUGCAUCGCUUGAAUCCAGGAGAGGUGAGUGGAAUUCCGAGUGUAGAGGUGAAAUUCGUAGAUAUUCGGAAGAACACCAGUGGCGAAGGCGGCUCACUGGACUGGUAUUGACGCUGAAGUGCGAAAGCGUGGGGAGCAAACAGG
rnacentral:rRNA from 1 species